rnacentral:rRNA from 1 species
GACGAACGCUGGCGGCGUGCUUAACACAUGCAAGUCGAACGGAAAGGCCUCUUUCGGGGGGUACUCGAGUGGCGAACGGGUGAGUAACACGUGAGUAACCUGCCCUUGACUUUGGGAUAACUUCAGGAAACUGGGGCUAAUACCGGAUAGGAGCUCCUGCUGCAUGGUGGGGGUUGGAAAGUUUCGGCGGUUGGGGAUGGACUCGCGGCUUAUCAGCUUGUUGGUGGGGUAGUGGCUUACCAAGGCUUUGACGGGUAGCCGGCCUGAGAGGGUGACCGGCCACAUUGGGACUGAGAGACGGCCCAGACUCCUACGGGAGGCAGCAGUGGGGAAUAUUGCACAAUGGGUGGAAGCCGGAUGCAGCAACGCCGUGUGCGGGAUGACGGCCUUCGGGUUGUAAACCGCUUUCGCUCAUGACGAAGCUUUGUGUGACGGUAGUGGGUAAAGAAGCACCGGCUAACUACGUG